rnacentral:rRNA from 1 species
AGAGUUUGAUCCUGGCUCAGAUUGAACGCUGGCGGCGUGCUUAACACAUGCAAGUCGAACGCGAAAGGGGGCUUCGGCUCCCGAGUAGAGUGGCGCACGGGUGAGUAACGCGUUGAUAAUCUGCCCUCUUGUUCGGGAUAACUGCUGGAAACGGCAGCUAAUACCGGAUAAGCUCCACCAAUUGUAUGGUGGAGGAAAGGAGGCCUCUUCAUGAAAGCUUCCGCGAGGGGAUGAGUCCGCGUCCCAUUAGCUAGUUGGUGAGGUAACGGCCCACCAAGGCAACGAUGGGUAGCCGGUCUAAGAGGAUGACCGGCCACACUGGAACUGAAACACGGUCCAGACUCCUACGGGAGGCAGCAGUGGGGAAUAUUGCGCAAUGGACGAAAGUCUGACGCAGCGACGCCGCGUGAGGGAUGAAGGUUUUCGGAUCGUAAACCUCUGUCAGGAGGGAAGAAAGCGCAUGGCGCCAAUCAGCCAUGCGUUGACGGUACCUCCAAAGGAAGCGCCGGCUAACUCCGUGCCAGCAGCCGCGGUAAUACGGAGGGCGCGAGCGUUAAUCGGAAUUACUGGGCGUAAAGCGCGCGUAGGCUGUUGUGUAAGUUGGGGGUGAAAUCCCACGGCUCAACCGUGGAACAGCCCUUGAUACUGCGCGACUUGAAUCCGGGAGAGGGUGGCGGAAUUCCAGGUGUAGGAGUGAAAUCCGUAGAUAUCUGGAGGAACAUCAGUGGCGAAGGCGGCCACCUGGACCGGUAUUGACGCUGAGGCGCGAAAGCGUGGGGAGCAAACGAGGAUUAGAUACCCUGGUAGUCCACGCUGUAAACG